rnacentral:pre_miRNA from 12 species
AAAAAGACGCCCAUAGACUCCAAUGGGUGAAAUAAAAGUUUUCACCUAUUGGUGUCUAUGGGAGUCUUUUUC